AAUCUAGACAGCAUGAAACUCUGAACACAGAGUGGUGUUUCAGAGCAUCAGGAGGAUCAUGUUCAACACCUUCCUCAAUCACUCUAACAUUUGAACACUUCAGUGAGGAUGCAUUAAGGAGAGAGCGCCUUCCUCUCAGACACACAGCGGGACACUCAGGGCUUCCUAUGGUGGCCGGCCAAUGCCUGGCCAUGGGCAACGGUUCCAUAAAAGUCCCGCGGGCUGAGGAGAACAGCUGCCUGGCCUCCAUCCACACAGACCCCCCAGGCCUGGACAAAGACAUCCUCAGGCUGCGGAUCACCCAGCUGGAGGAGGAGCUGGCCCGUCGGGAUCAGGAGUUCCGGGCCCAGGAGCUUCAGCUGCAAUAUCUCCAG